rnacentral:rRNA from 1 species
UACGAAGGGGGCUAGCGUUGCUCGGAAUUACUGGGCGUAAAGCGCACGUAGGCGGCUUCUUAAGUCGGUGGUGAAAUCCUGGAGCUCAACUCCAGAACUGCCUUCGAUACUGGGAGCUGAGUCCGGGAGAGGUGAGUGGAACUGCAGUGUAGAGGUGAAAUUCGUAGAUAUUCGCAAGAACACCAGUGGCGAAGGCGGCUCACUGGCCCGGUACUGACGCUGAGGUGCGAAAGCGUGGGGAGCAAACAGG